rnacentral:rRNA from 1 species
UACGUAGGUGGCAAGCGUUGUCCGGAUUUACUGGGCGUAAAGAGCGCGCAGGCGGUCGGAUAAGUCGAAUGUGAAAGCCCCCGGCUCAGCUGGGGAGGGUCAUUCGAUACUGUUCGACUCGAAGGCAGGAGAGGGAAGUGGAAUUCCCGGUGUAGUGGUGAAAUGCGUAGAUAUCGGGAGGAACACCAGUGGCGAAGGCGACUUCCUGGCCUGUUCUUGACGCUGAGGCGCGAAAGCUAGGGGAGCAAACGGG